UCACGUAUUUUCGAGCCUUUCGACCCUCGGGACUCCUUAGCGAUAUCGUUGCCACAAUGGCUAGACGGGAUUCGGCCUUAGAGGCGUUCAGGCUUAAUCCCACGGAUGGUAGCUUCGCACCACCGGCCGCUCGGCCGAAUGCGUGAACCAAAUGUCCGAACCUGCGGUUCCUCUCGUACUGAGCAGGAUUACUAUCGCAACGACACAGUCAU